AUGAGGGGAGGCUCUGCACAGCUGUGGGGCCACAGAAGGCGGGAUCGGUCCCCUCUCCUCCUCAGCCUCCUCGCUCACUGCACGGGGUCCUGGGCCCAGUCUCUGCUGACUCAGCCGCCCUCCGUGUCUGGGGCCCUGGGCCAGAGGGUCACCAUCUCCUGCACUGGAAGCAGCUCCAACAUCGGGGGUGGUAAUUAUGUGAGCUGGUACCAACAGCUCCCAGGAAAAGCCCCCAGAACCAUCAUCUAUAGUAACAGCAACCGACCCUCAGGGGUCCCGGAUUGAUUCUCUGGCUCGAGGUCUGGCAGCUCAGGCACCCUGACCAUCACUGGGCUCCAGGCUGAGGACGAGGCUGAGUAUUACUGCCAGUCCUAUGACAGCAGUCUCAGUGCUCACACAGUGCUCCCGGCCUGUGGGGAAGUGAGACAAAAACCUACUUACCCCCCUGCAAAGUGA